GCGGUAGAAAUGCACAUCAUUAGUGGGUCAUCAGUGGUCUAUAUUGACCCGUCAUUGGCAGAUGUACCGGUGUGACCAUUUCCCAACCCAAGCAGCAAAUAUUUGUAGAAGCCUUUGGCAAAUUCUUUGCAUGUGGAUGACGCAGAUGUACUAGCUUGUGACUCGGAAAAGAGCAGGUUAACGCCUGUCCCCUGGGCAGAGACAUGAGGAGGACUGAUGGCAGGAGAUGUAAUGUAGGGUGACAGGUUGCCUGGCUUGUCUGAAGAGGACCAGAUCAGGACCUUGCAUUCUUUCAACUUUGAUUUUACCUCAGUUGAAUCGCAUUAUUUGCAAUCUUUACGGCUGGUUGAGAAGGAAGGAGAAGCUGGCCACAUUUACCAGUGGUAUUGCCCUCUCUGGUGGAGACUUGCAUCAGCUUUUUUUUUUCCAUUGUGCAACUUCACGACUGUGUAGCAUGAUCUGUGGGCACUUAACUGCUGACUGCCAUCAGAUAUACCAGGCACAGGCCAAAAGAGCAGGGACAUUAGUUUCCACUGUUACUGUCAAGGGUUGUUACAGUGAGGCGGGAUUAAAUAACCAAAACACAACAGAUUUAAACGCAGUACGCAUGGUUAUUUAAUGCAUUUCACGUCUACAUGGCUUUCCUCAGUUCUGACUGAUCAUUCGCUAACUCGCCCUCUUGUUCAAUGAUUCUCUACCAGUGGGCUGGGGGCCACUAGGGGGCCUCAACAAAUUUCCCUGGGGACCUCAAAGAUGACUUAAAAUAUUUUUGUUUAGAAUUGAGGUCCUUGAAGUAGAAAAAGUCGAGAGCCACAACUCUAAUUUCAUACAAACAAGAUGCACGCCAUCUAGUGUCUCAAAUGAUUGUAUUAAAAAACAGCUUAAAGCACUUCAGUAUUAAACAUGCUAGAUGUAUUUAUUUUUUGACUGUAGUAAAGCAUAAAAAUACCGUAAUAUGUUUGCAGAUACUUCAAAAUUCACAUACUUGUUUCUCUGAAAAACAAUGCUGUUACAGGUCGGAAUGCCUGUUGUUGUUUUGGUCUGUGUGAUCCCGCACACUGACAAAUUAUCCAUAAAUAUUUCAACACCCCAUUUUGCCAUUUGCCAAUAUUAAGAUAUUAAGAUAUUAAAGCUGAAUGGUCUUGUGGAAGAACAU